rnacentral:piRNA from 1 species
UACAAUGUACAUGUGUCACAUAUGGGCUU